GAUGAAGAACGUAGCGAAAUGCGAUAAGUAAUGUGAAUUGCAGAAUUCAGUGAAUCAUCGAAUCUUUGAACGCACCUUGCACUCCUUGGUAUUCCGAGGAGUACGCCUGUUCGAGUGUUAUGAAGCUCUCAAAACGCAAUUGGCUUAAAACCUGAUUGUUGUUUUGGAUUUGAACUUUGCCGUGUUAUAACGGCUGGUUUUAAAAGUAUUAGCUGGUACUAGAACGAAUUGGUUCUACUCAACGUGAUAAUUAUCUGAUCGUUGAGGACAUUCCUUUCACGAGGAAUGGUCAUAGUAAAUUCAAUGGACUGCUUCUAAUCUGGCUUUAAUUCUUUAUUGGGUUAACCACUUUUCAAAUCUGACCUCGAAUCAGGUGGGACUACCCGCUGAACUUAAGCAUAUCAAUAAGCGGAGGA
rnacentral:misc_RNA from 1 species